UUGAGAGCGGCGUACGGUUGCGGAACACGUGUGCACGCCUUCAUCUGGGGGAUAGCCUUUCGAAAGGAAGAUUAUACCCCAUAAUAUGUUGAAUGGCAUCAUUCGACAUGGAAACUCCGGUGGAUAGAGAUGGGCACGCGCAAGAUUAGAUAGUUGGUGAGGUAACGGCUCACCAAGUCUACGAUCUUUAGGGGCCUGAGAGGGUGAUCCCCCACACUGGUACUGAACACGGACCAACUCCUACGGGAGGCAGCAGUGAGGAAUAUUGGACAAUGGGUGAGAGCCUGAUCCAGCCAUCCCGCGUGAAGGACGACUGCCCUAUGGGUUGUAAACUUCCUUUGUAUAGGGAUAAACCUACCCUCGUGAGGGUAGCUGAAGGUACUAUACGAAUAAGCACCGGCUAACUCCGUGCCAGCAGCCGCGGUAAUACGGAGGGUGCAAGCGUUAUCCGGANGUUUAUUGGGUUUAAAGGGGUCCCGUAGCGGAUCUGUAAAUCAUGGUGAAAAUCUCCACAGUUAACUGUGAAACUGGCAUUGAUACUGCAGGUCUUGAGUGUUGUUGAAGUAGCUGGAAAUAAGUAGUGUNAGCGGGUGAAAAUGG
rnacentral:rRNA from 1 species